rnacentral:rRNA from 1 species
CCUACGGGAGGCUGCAGUGGGGAAUAUUGGACAAUGGGCGAAAGCCUGAUCCAGCCAUGCCGCGUGUGUGAAGAAGGCCUUCGGGUUGUAAAGCACUUUCAGUGGGGAAGAAAGCCUUGGGGCUAAUACCCUCGAGGAAGGACAUCACCCACAGAAGAAGCACCGGCUAACUCCGUGCCAGCAGCCGCGGUAAUACGGAGGGUGCGAGCGUUAAUCGGAAUUACUGGGCGUAAAGCGCGCGUAGGCGGUCUGAUAAGCCGGUUGUGAAAGCCCCGGGCUCAACCUGGGAACGGCAUCCGGAACUGUCAGGCUAGAGUGUAGGAGAGGAAGGUAGAAUUCCCGGUGUAGCGGUGAAAUGCGUAGAGAUCGGGAGGAAUACCAGUGGCGAAGGCGGCCUUCUGGACUGACACUGACGCUGAGGUGCGAAAGCGUGGGUAGCAAACAGGAUUAGAUACCCCAGUAGUC